AGGGCAAGUCUGGUGCCAGCAGCCGCGGUAAUUCCAGCUCCAAUAGCGUAUAUUAAAGUUGUUGCAGUUAAAAAGCUCGUAGUUGAAUUUCGGGGUUCUACCGUUGGUCGGGCUUUGUCUGUACUGGCGUGUAGAAUUUCUACCUUCUGGGGAACCAUUAUGUUAUUAAUUUAGCGUAGUGGGAAACCAGGACCUUUACCUUGAAAAAAUUAGAGUGUUCAAAGCAGGCCUUUGCUCGAAUACGUUAGCAUGGAAUAAUAGAAUAGGACGUGCGGUCCUAUUUUGUUGGUUUCUAGGACCGCCGUAAUGAUUAAUAGGGAUAGUCGGGGGCAUCAGUAUUCAAUCGUCAGAGGUGAAAUUCUUGGAUUGAUUGAAGACUAACUACUGCGAAAGCAUUUGCCAAGGAUGUUUUCAUUAAUCAGUGAACGAAAGUUAGGGGAUCGAAGACGAUCAGAUACCGUCGUAGUCUUAACCAUAAACUAUGCCGACUAGGGAUCGGACGAUGUUAAUUUUUCUUGACUCGUUCGGCGCCUUACGGGAA
rnacentral:rRNA from 1 species